rnacentral:lncRNA from 1 species
GUUUUAGGUAUAGGGUUUGGGCUCAUGGGCAAGACCGCUCGAAUUAAUUUUAUUCUACUUACAGUUGAAAGAUUAGGAAUACUUCUUUAAAAAUUGCAAUGAAUCAUAACGAAAAGAACUAGGAUACAAGUAAAUUUUCUUGGACAAAUGACAAAAUUGAUUUCACACACGUGUGUACAUAUGUUAAGAUUAAGAAGUUUGAGAGGUUAUGUUUUUUUAUUAUGGCUACCUACGUCAUAAGUAAAAUUUAAAAUGGCGGUACAAAGUUGUCAGUUUAUGCUUUUAAAUAUAUAUUUUUUAAAAUUGUGUAUUAAAAUAUAAUUUAAAUUUUAUCAAAAUUUAGCAGCACUGAAGUCACCUUGAAGUUGAAACGUAUGAUUUUUAUCAUUAGAUUCAUUACCCCCACCCCCAUUCUUCGUUCCUUUCAUCCCCCCUCCCCCUUUUCAUUCAAUUUUACGUUUUACUAUUUACGUCACAUACUCAGCUUGCUUGCUAUGCAGUUACAUUGCACCAUUGAUCGCCAUUGUGCAUCAUCAUCUAGUAAGACUGUUACUACGUUAUUACCUACAGAGAUUUGUUGUGUGCAUCCCCGUUUCAGCUCAAAGAGCCCUGCCUCUCACAAAGUCUUGAACCAAUGAUCAUUCCUGGCCAGGCAACUCAUUCAUCACACAAGAGGAUCCAUCACCCAGCUGAUCAAUUCUUUAUUCAAGUGGUCUAAGUAUCAACAAUCAACUUUUUAUUCAAGUUGUUUUAUCAAAAAAGUUUGAUCAGCUAUCAAAAACUGAAGGCACACCUUCUUUCAACUUUAAUUCGAUGGGUUUAAUCAUCACGACCAUCAGAUGUCUACAAUGGUUCAUUCAGGGUGUUUCUUUAUUCAAGCAGCACCUUCAUCCAAAACUGUGGAAACUAACAAGUUACCUUUCACAUACAUGUGUAGCGAACAUUUGUGUCAAAAUGGGAGAUUGAUUGAUUCCUUUAUUGUCUUCUCCUUACUGGUUGACUAAUUCUUUUAUUCAAGUGAUUUUGCUUUUACUGGCAAGUAUCUUAGUGUGUAAACAUUAUCGGACAGUUUAUUUUCCUGAACUUGAAGUUGUACUAUGUGAUGAAUGUGUUUAUGUAAUGUAGUUUCAAGCAGGGCGCACCAAUUUUGGUACCAUGAUGUCUCCUCAUCAUGCACUUUCCAUAUGUAGCGUUUCUAAACCACCCACAAAUCCAUUGGCACAUUAUUUUUAAGUUUAAAUAAGGUGGUUCCCCUCUUUAUGAUUCUGAGCACCCGAAUACCUUAGCUCGAUGUUUUAGGCAGCUAAGUUGUAUUUUUUUUAUCUAAAAUUUCAUGUAAUACUCCGCCAACAUGGCACUCUUGACUGAAAAAUUGUUGCUGUGGUAAUGAUGACCUAUUAGGGAUGAACUACUUGCAACUACUGCAACUACAUUAGGCAAUGUUGUCUCCUGGAUAAGGCAGGUACCAUUAAGUAAGAAGGCACUAGAUCAGACUAACAAAUACAUUUUAUUGCCAUCUUACAAUAUGUAUUUUACCUAGGAGAAAGUUACUUUAAAUAAUGAUCUGACAGCCAUAAGCUGGCCAAAAAUUCGCGUUUUGCCAAAGUAUGUUUUAUAACUUUUUCAUUCACCAAUUUCAGCCUAUUGAGGAGAAGCUGUAUUUUUGUCUCAUGCAUCUGUCCUUAGUGUGUUUCAAUUUCUCAUUUUUUAUGCAACUCAAAUAAAAGU